rnacentral:rRNA from 1 species
CCUACGGGAGGCAGCAGUGAGGAAUAUUGGUCAAUGGGCGGGAGCCUGAACCAGCCAAGUCGCGUGAGGGAAGACGGUCCUAUGGAUUGUAAACCUCUUUUGUCGGGGAGCAAAAGACGCCACGCGUGGCGUUCCGAGAGUACCCGAAGAAAAAGCAUCGGCUAACUCCGUGCCAGCAGCCGCGGUAAUACGGAGGAUGCGAGCGUUAUCCGGAUUUAUUGGGUUUAAAGGGUGCGCAGGCGGAAGAUCAAGGCAGCGGUAAAAUUGAGAGGCUCAACCUCUUCGAGCCGUUGAAACUGGUGUUCUUGAGUGAGUGAGAAGUAUGCGGAAUGCGUGGUGUAGCGGUGAAAUGCAUAGAUAUCACGCAGAACUCCGAUUGCGAAGGCAGCAUACCGGCGCUCAACUGACGCUCAUGCACGAAAGUGUGGGUAUCGAACAGGAUUAGAUACCCUUGUAGUC